rnacentral:rRNA from 1 species
GAUGAACGCUGGCGGCGUGCCUAAUACAUGCAAGUCGAGCGAACGGACGAGAAGCUUGCUUCUCUGAUGUUAGCGGCGGACGGGUGAGUAACACGUGGAUAACCUACCUAUCAGACUGGGAUAACUUCGGGAAACCGGAGCUAAUACCGGAUAAUAUUUUGAACCACAUGGUUCAAAAGUGAAAGACGGUCUUGCUGUCACUUAUAGAUGGAUCCGCGCUGCAUUAGCUAGUUGGUAAGGUAACGGCUUACCAAGGCAACGAUGCAUAGCCGACCUGAGAGGGUGAUCGGCCACACUGGAACUGAGACACGGUCCAGACUCCUACGGGAGGCAGCAGUAGGGAAUCGUCCGCAAAGGGCGAAAGCCUGACGGAGCAACGCCGCGUGAGUGAUGAAGGUCUUCGGAUCGUAAAACUCUGUUAUUAGGGAAGAACAUAUGUGUAAGUAACUGUGCACAUCUUGACGGUACCUAAUCAGAAAGCCACGGCUAACUACGUG